rnacentral:rRNA from 1 species
AGCGAACGCUGGCGGCAGGCCUAACACAUGCAAGUCGAACGAACUCUUCGGAGUUAGUGGCGGACGGGUGAGUAACACGUGGGAACGUGCCUUUUGGUUCGGAAUAACUCAGGGAAACUUGUGCUAAUACCGAAUGUGCCCUUCGGGGGAAAGAUUUAUCGCCAUUAGGGCGGCCCGCGUCUGAUUAGCUAGUUGGUGAGGUAACGGCUCACCAAGGCGACGAUCAGUAGCUGGUCUGAGAGGAUGACCAGCCACACUGGGACUGAGACACGGCCCAGACUCCUACGGGAGGCAGCAGUGGGGAAUCUUGCGCAAUGGGCGAAAGCCUGACGCAGCCAUGCCGCGUGAAUGAUGAAGGUCUUAGGAUUGUAAAAUUCUUUCACCGGGGACGAUAAUGACGGUACCCGGAGAAGAAGCCCCGGCUAACUUCGUG